GACGAACGCUGGCGGCGUGCCUAAUACAUGCAAGUCGAGCGGACUUGACAGAGCUUGCUCUGUUCAAGUUAGCGGCGGACGGGUGAGUAACACGUGGGCAACCUGCCCUGCAGAUUGGGAUAACUCCGGGAAACCGGGGCUAAUACCGAAUAAUAUCGAAGAUUUCAUGAUCUUCUUUUGAAAGAUGGCUUCGGCUGUCACUGCAGGAUGGGCCCGCGGCGCAUUAGCUAGUUGGUGAGGUAACGGCUCACCAAGGCGACGAUGCGUAGCCGCCCUGAGAGGGUGAUCGGCCACACUGGGACUGAGACACGGCCCAGACUCCUACGGGAGGCAGCAGUAGGGAAUCUUCCGCAAUGGACGAAAGUCUGACGGAGCAACGCCGCGUGAGUGAUGAAGGUUUUCGGAUCGUAAAACUCUGUUGUCAGGGAAGAACAAGUACGGGAGUAACUGUCCGUACCUUGACGGUACCUGACCAGAAAGCCACGGCUAACUACGUGCCAGCAGCCGCCGUAAGAC
rnacentral:rRNA from 1 species